AGCGCAGGCGGGAAGGUAAGUCUAUCUUAAAAGUGCGGGGCUCAACCCCGUGAGGGCAUAGAAACUAUUUUUCUUGAGUGCAGGAGAGGAAAGCGGAAUUCCUAGUGUAGCGGUGAAAUGCGUAGAUAUUAGGAGGAACACCAGUGGCGAAGGCGGCUUUCUGGACUGUAACUGACGCUGAGGCUCGAAAGCCAGGGGAGCGAACG
rnacentral:rRNA from 1 species